CCUUGGAAACAUUAAUGCAUAGUGUCUUUGGAGGGCAUGACGGGAUGGAAUGACCAAGUUUUUACACACUGUUAUCCUGCCUCCAGUUCCACAAAGCAAUCUUAGAGCUAUGACUAUCAUAAAUU